GACGAACGCUGGCGGCGUGCUUAACACAUGCAAGUCGAACGGAAAGGCCCUGCUUUUGUGGGGUGCUCGAGUGGCGAACGGGUGAGUAACACGUGAGUAACCUGCCCUUGACUUUGGGAUAACUUCAGGAAACUGGGGCUAAUACCGGAUAGGAGCUCCUGCUGCAUGGUGGGGGUUGGAAAGUUUCGGCGGUUGGGGAUGGACUCGCGGCUUAUCAGCUUGUUGGUGGGGUAGUGGCUUACCAAGGCUUUGACGAGUAGCCGGCCUGAGAGGGUGACCGGCCACAUUGGGACUGAGAUACGGCCCAGACUCCUACGGGAGGCAGCAGUGGGGAAUAUUGCACAAUGGGCGGAAGCCUGAUGCAGCAACGCCGCGUGCGGGAUGACGGCCUUCGGGUUGUAAACUGCUUUCGCCUGUGACGAAGCGUGAGUGACGGUAAUGGGUAAAGAAGCACCGGCUAACUACGUG
rnacentral:rRNA from 1 species